CUACGGGGUGCUGCGGUCGAGAAUCUUCGGCAAUGGACGCAAGUCUGACCGAGCGACGCCGCGUGCGGGAUGAAGGCCUUCGGGUUGUAAACCGCUGUCAGUUGGGAGGAAAUUCUUGGGGGUUCUCCCCCUUGAUUGACCUAUCUUCAGAGGAAGUGCGGGCUAAGUUCGUGCCAGCAGCCGCGGUAAGACGAACCGCACAAACGUUAUUCGGAAGCACUGGGCUUAAAGGGUGCGUAGGCGGUCAUGCAAGUUGGGUGUGAAAUCCCUCGGCUCAACCGAGGAACUGCGCUCAAAACUGCAUGACUUGAGGGAGAUAGAGGUGAGCGGAACUUAGGGUGGAGCGGUGAAAUGCGUUGAUAUCCUAAGGAACACCAGUUGCGAAAGCGGCUCACUGGGUCUCUUCUGACGCUGAGGCACGAAAGCUAGGGGAGCGAAGAGGAUUAGAUACCCGUGUAGUC
rnacentral:rRNA from 1 species